rnacentral:sRNA from 12 species
AGAUUUUGUCAUAAAGCGUUACAAAGUAAAAAUAAAGAAAGCUCACUGAGA